GUCUCUAUGGUGCAUUUGGUUAGCGCGUUUGGCUGUUAACUGAAAAGUUGGUGGUUCAAGCCCACUCAGGGACU
rfam:Fukomys damarensis contig162073, whole genome shotgun sequence.